rnacentral:rRNA from 1 species
CAAUAGCGUAUAUUAAAGUUGUUGCGGUUAAAAGCUCGUAGUUGGAUUUCUGCCGAGGACGACCGGUCCGCCCUCUGGGUGAGCAUCUGGCUCGGCCUGGGCAUCUUCUUGGAGAACGUAUCUGCACUUGACUGUGUGGUGCGGUAUUUCAGGACUUUUACUUUUGAGGAAAUUUAGAGUGUUUCAAGCAGGCAUACGCCUUGAAUACAUUAGCAUGGAAUAAUAAGAUAGGACCUCGGUUCUAUUUUGUUGGUUUCUAGAUUCUGAGGUAAUGAUUAAUAGGGAUAGUUGGGGCGAUUCGUGAUUUAACUGUCAGAGGUGAAAUUCUUGGAUUUGUUAA